rnacentral:tRNA from 1 species
GCACGGAUGGCCGAGUGGUCUAAGGCGCCAGACUCAAGUGUUAACACUUCCUGCGAGUGCAGCAGGAGUAUGGGCGUUCUGGUAUGGUAAUCCAUGCGUGGGUUCGAAUCCCACUUCGUGCA